CAAAAACACUUAACUGCGAGGAAAAUUCAAAAAGGAAAGUUCCUAAUCAAAUGGCAAAAUCAAAAGCCCAAACGCACAAACACAUCAAACGAAUGGAUUACAACUGUCAUAUUUCUGACUUGCAAACAGCCUGAAAAGUUCCCUUAUCAAAGUAACGUGAGAUGAUAACAUGCUGAACUGAUCAAGAUGACUUAAAGUCUUGAAUGGACCCC
rnacentral:lncRNA from 1 species